GCCGAGGGAAGCUUGAGGGCGGGGCCUCCGGUUGCGAUCCUUUUGUGUGGCUCCUUUGAGGGUAGGCCGGUAGAGAUCCUGACCACGCCCCAGGAGCUCAGAGAGGCUGUCAGGUCUAGCCAGGCCCGGCUGGGCCCUGAGCGCUGGCCACUGAAAAGAGGUGGAAAGCCAACAUGGACCGUUCCCUUUGCCCUCAUCCUCAGCCUGACCGCGCAGGGGAAACAAUUCUCCUGGAUACUGUGAUUUGAGGCCAGAGUGAAGUCUGUGAGUGACUCCUUGGAUGACAAGACAGCCCUCUGACUGGCUCAAGUCCUGACACUUGACCCCAGAACGAUGCCCACAUGAUGUGAGGAACUGAAAUCAAAGCAGGCACUACGCACUGUCCAGAAAACAAGUUCCCUGAGAGCAACCUGUCUUAAAGUGAGAGCCUCUUCAGUCCAUUAUACUCAACAAGAGAAAUCCCAUUUCUGGAUGAAUGACUGAAGCCAACAGGAAAAGCUGAAGGAAGCAAUCUGCUUCCUUUCUGGUCUGAGAAACAACCAUCUUCUUCAACCAGUCCUGCCAGCAAUCCUAGCCCAGACCCCACUGACAGCUUCCAGACACCACCAAGGCCUGCUUGGGCCCAUCAGUCAGCAGUUUGCAAGUGUCCAGCUGAUUUCAUACCCCAGGCCACUCCCAUGUCCUACUAAGUUCUGUGUCCCUGAAAGUCAUGACUGCCUGUUCUAGUCCUCUUAGACAGCCCUGCCUCAUAAUAUAAUACACUUAUUAGACUGUAAACGAGGAUGCAAGGCAUAAAGGUUUUUUUACAGGAUAAACAAACAGACCAGGAUCUGACACC
ensembl:lncRNA